AGUUUAGAAAAUCCAUACUUUUGUAUUAAUUAUUUUUUGUUUAUCUAGAUAAUUAUUUAGUUAUCUAAGCCAAUCAGUAACAUUUUAAACGUAACAAUCUGACAUGUUAUUUAAAUAGUAAUUUAUAAAUUUAUUGCUCUAUCUAGUGGAUAAGAUUUUCGGUAACAUACAUGAUUCCUAAACUGCGAGAAAAUGAUGGUCUUUGGAUUUUCCUAAAAUUAUUUAAAUUUAUAAAAGGUAAUAAAUAAACGAAUUCGGUAUA